rnacentral:rRNA from 1 species
AUACGGAGGAUCCGAGCGUUAUCCGGAUUUAUUGGGUUUAAAGGGAGCGUAGAUGGAUGUUUAAGUCAGUUGUGAAAGUUUGCGGCUCAACCGUAAAAUUGCAGUUGAUACUGGAUAUCUUGAGUGCAGUUGAGGCAGGCGGAAUUCGUGGGGGAGAGGUGAAAUGCUUAGAUAUCACGAAGAACUCCGAUUGCGAAGGCAGCCUGCUAAGCUGCAACUGACAUUGAGGCUCGAAAGUGUGGGUAUCAAACAGGAUUAGAUACCCUGGUAGUCCACACGGUAAACGAUGAAUACUCGCUGUUUGCGAUAUACGGCAAGCGGCCAAGCGAAAGCGUUAAGUAUUCCACCUGGGGAGUACGCCGGCAACGGUGAAACUCAAAUGAAUUGGCGGGG